CCUACGGGCGGCUGCAGUGAGGAAUAUUGGUCAAUGGGCGUAAGCCUGAACCAGCCAUCCCGCGUGCAGGAAGAAGGCGCUAUGCGUCGUAAACUGCUUUUCCAGGGGAAGAAAACCCGCUACGUGUAGUGGCUUGCCGGUACCCUGGGAAUAAGCAUCGGCUAACUCCGUGCCAGCAGCCGCGGUAAUACGGAGGAUGCGAGCGUUAUCGGGUUUUAUUGGGUUUAAGGCGGAUUAAUAAGGAUGUGGUGAAAACCUUCAGCUUAACUGGAGACUUGCCAUUGAUACUGGUAGUCUUGAGUACGGUCAAGGUAGGCGGAAUGUGUAAUGUAGCGGUGAAAUGCUUAGAUAUUACACAGAACACCGAUUGCGAAGGCAGCUUACUGGGCCAUUACUGACGCUGAUGCACGAAAGCGUGGGGAGCGAACAGGAUUAGAUACCCCAGUAGUC
rnacentral:rRNA from 1 species